UACGUAGGGGGCAAGCGUUGUCCGGAAUCAUUGGGCGUAAAGCGCGUGUAGGCGGCUCGAUAAGUCUGCUGUGAAAGUCCAGGGCUCAACCCUGGGAUGCCGGUGGAUACUGUCGAGCUCGAGUCCGGAAGAGGCGAGUGGAAUUCCUGGUGUAGCGGUGAAAUGCGCAGAUAUCGGGAAGAACACCCGUGGCGAAGGCGGUUCUCUGGGACGGUACUGACGCUGAGACGCGAAAGCGUGGGGAGCGAACAGG
rnacentral:rRNA from 1 species